GGAGGUGUAGCUCAGUUUGGUCAGAGCGCAGGAUUCAUAACCCUGAGGUCGGCGGUUCAACCCCGCCCACCUCCA
rnacentral:tRNA from 1 species